rnacentral:rRNA from 1 species
UACGGGGGGGGCAAGCGUUGUUCGGAAUUACUGGGCGUAAAGGGCUCGUAGGUGGCCAACUAAGUCAGACGUGAAAUCCCUCGGCUUAACCCCGGGUCUGCAGUCGAUACGGGCAGGCUAGAGUUCGGUAGGGGAGAUCGGAAUUCCUGGUGUAGCGGUGAAAUGCGCAGAUAUCAGGAGGAACACCGGUGGCGAAGGCGGAUCUCUGGGCCGAUACUGACGCUGAGGAGCGAAAGCGUGGGGGGCGAACAGG